GCAGAGAGUGGCGCAGUGGAAGCGUGCUGGGCCCAUAACCCAGUGAUGGUCCUGAAGAUCACUUCAAAACCCUUGUCUUCUGCU